CCGGCACGGGUGAGUAACACGUAUGCAAUCCACCUGUAACAGGGGGAUAACCCGGAGAAAUCCGGACUAAUACCCCAUAAUAUGGGCGCUCCGCAUGGAGAGCCCAUUGAAGAGAGCAAUUUUGGUUACAGACGAGCAUGCGCUCCAUUAGCCAGUUGGCGGGGUAACGGCCCACCAAAGCGACGAUGGAUAGGGGUUCUGAGGGGAAGGUCCCCCACAUUGGAACUGAGACACGGUCCAA
rnacentral:rRNA from 1 species